rnacentral:misc_RNA from 1 species
UCUUUCUUUCUUUCUUUCUUUGUUUUAUGUGUGUUUAUAACUUUACUCUCUUUUAAUAUAGCUUAAAACAAACUAUUAAAAAAAGUGGCAAUUUUUCACUUCCAUCUGGAUCACAGUGAUCUACACUUGUUUUUAGUUCUGCACACAAUAUUGGUUUUCAUACGUCAGUCCAAAUAUUGAAUAAUCUCACCCAUCUGUCUUCUUCUUCAGGUAUAUAUGGCGUCCAUGUUUGAAAAUCAAUACAAGUUA